rnacentral:rRNA from 1 species
GACAGAAGGUGCAAACGUUGUUCGGAUUUACUGGGCGUAAAGCGCGUGUAGGCGGCUUUGCAAGUCGGAUGUGAAAGCCCACGGCUCAACCGUGGAAGUGCAUCCGAAACUGCAUGGCUUGAGUCUCGGAGAGGAAGGUGGAAUGCUUGGUGUAGAGGUGAAAUUCGUAGAUAUCAAGCAGAACACCUGCGGCGAAGGCGGCCUUCUGGACGAUGACUGACGCUGAGACGCGAAAGCGUGGGGAGCAAACAGG